rnacentral:misc_RNA from 1 species
AACAUUCAGAAAGGAGGUGCUCUAGUGUCUAUUGAGGUAUUGGAGAAAGGGUUCGGAACAGUCUGGAGGGAACGCGUCUGAGGCAGCCCUUGGGCGCUAACCAACAGGUUGGUUCACUACCUAACUGAACCACCUCCUGAUCUCGAGAAGGGUCGUUCCAGACAAUGGGGCGACCC